CAAUAGCGUAUAUUAAAGUUGUUGCAGUUAAAAAGCUCGUAGUUGGAUUUCUGGUCGGAAGCUCCUGUCCUCUGAUGAGCGUACAAGUGCGUCCUACCAUCCUUCUGUUAACCUUUAAGGCUUUCGCGGCUUUCUAGGGGCUCAGAUAUUUUACCUUGAGAAAAUUAGAGUGUUUCAGGCAGGCUAGCGCCGGAAUACAUUAGCAUGGAAUAAUAAGAUAGGACUUUGGUGCCAUUUUGUUGGUUGAGCCUAAAGUAAUGAUUAAUAGGGAUAGUUGGGGGCACCUGUAUUGCGUUGUCAGAGGUGAAAUUCUUGGAUUUACGCAAGACAAACAGCUGCGAAGGCGUCUGUCAAGGAUGUUUUCAUUA
rnacentral:rRNA from 1 species